GUAUCUGAAAUCAAGUGUGACGACCCGCUGAACUUAAGCAUAUCAAUAAGCGGAGGAAAAGAAAUCAAAUGAGAUUUCCUUAGUAGCUGCGAGUGAACUGGAAUCAAGCCUAUUGCCAAUUCUUAUGUUUCGUACAAUAAGAGAUGAGGUGUAAAGGAGUUUCGUGUUGAACAGACGCACGGCCUAAUUAUUAUCGAGUGAGUUCUCAGAGAAGGUGAAAAGCCUGUUUGGUUGUGUCUGUCUGUUGAAUCGGAAUUCUUACGAGUCUAGUUGUUUGAGAGUACAACUUAAAGUUGGUGGUAAAUUUCAUCAAAGGCUAAAUAUAUGAGGGGACUAAUAGCGAACAAGUACCAUGAG
rnacentral:ncRNA from 1 species